GAUGAACGCUGGCGGCGUGCCUAAUACAUGCAAGUCGAGCGAACAGACGAGGAGCUUGCUCCUCUGGCGUUAGCGGCGGACGGGUGAGUAACACGUGGAUAACCUACCUAUAAGACUGGGAUAACUUCGGGAAACCGGAGCUAAUACCGGAUAAUAUAUUGAACCGCAUGGUUCAAUAGUGAAGGACGGUUUUGCUGUCACUUAUAGAUGGAUCCGCGCCGCAUUAGCUAGUUGGUAAGGUAACGGCUUACCAAGGCAACGAUGCGUAGCCGACCUGAGAGGGUGAUCGGCCACACUGGAACUGAGACACGGUCCAGACUCCUACGGGAGGCAGCAGUAGGAGAUCUUCCGCAAAGGGCGAAAGCUUGACGGAGCAACGCCGCGUGAGUGAUGAAGGUCUUCGGAUCGUAAAACUCUGUUAUUAGGGAAGAACAAAUGUGUAAGUAACUAUGCACGUCUUGACGGUACCUAAUCAGAAAGCCACGGCUAACUACGUG
rnacentral:rRNA from 1 species